rnacentral:piRNA from 1 species
UAGGAUGAGCUCUGGUGACAAGAAGCACU